AAUCAACGCUGGCGGCGUGCCUCAGACAUGCAAGUCGAACGCGAAAGUUCCCUUCGGGGAGCAAGUAGAGUGGCGCACGGGUGAGUAACACGUAGGUAAUUUGCCUUCGGGUGGGGAAUAACAGUCGGAAACGACUGCUAAUACCGCAUAAUGCAGCGGCUCGACAUCGAGACAGUUGUUAAAGCGGGGGAUCCUUCGGGACCUCGCGCCUGAAGAGAAGCCUGCGGCAGAUUAGCUAGUUGGUGAGGUAAUGGCCCACCAAGGCUACGAUCUGUAACCGGCCUGAGAGGGCGGUCGGUCACACUGACACUGACAUACGGGUCAGACUCCUACGGGAGGCAGCAGUC
rnacentral:rRNA from 1 species